rnacentral:rRNA from 1 species
GAUGAACGCUAGCUACAGGCUUAACACAUGCAAGUCGCAGGGUAACAUGAGGAAAGCUUGCUUUCCUUGAUGACGACUGGCGCACGGGUGAGUAACGCGUAUCCAACCUUCCCAUAACUACGGGAUAACCCGUUGAAAGACGGCCUAAUACCGUAUGACAUCGUUUGCUGACAUCUAAUAACGAUUAAAGGUUUAGCGGUUAUGGAUGGGGAUGCGUCUGAUUAGCUCGUUGGCGGGGUAACGGCCCACCAAGGCGACGAUCAGUAGGGGUUCUGAGAGGAAGGUCCCCCACAUUGGAACUGAGGCACGGUCCAAACUCCUACGGGAGGCAGCAGUGAGGAAUAUUGGUCAAUGGGCGAGAGCCUGAACCAGCCAAGUAGCGUGCAGGAUGACGGCGCUAUGGGUUGUAAACUGCUUUUAUGUGGGGAUAAAGUGCGUGACGUGUCAUGCAUUGCAGGUACCACAUGAAUAAGGACCGGCUAAUUCCGUG